GGCGGGGCGGCGCGGCGCGGGGCGGUGCCGAGCAGGGAGGGCGGGCCCAGCGCGCAGGUGGCACCUGCCCCGGUCCCCGUGCACGUGGGGGGCUCGUGACCGCAGGGCACUCCCGGAGUCGCGCAGGGUGUGAGCAGGGAGGGGGGCUCGCCAGGUGGGCCCCGCAACAGGGAGGGGGUCAGCCGAGCGUGCGGCGGGGCGGGGCGGGCGCAACUGGAGGGGACGGGCUGAGAGGUGACCGCCGGUGCUGGAGUCGGAGGGUGACUUAGGCGUCCUGGUUGGGGGGAGGGAGACGCAGCGCAGCUCUGGGGGAAGGGGGGAUGAGCCGAGCGGACGCCUCCCCCACUGGGGCUGACCAUACCCGGAGACUGGGUCGUCCGGGGCUGGGGCGGGCCUCCAGGGAAGGAGCGACUAGGCCCUGAAGAGAGAAGCUGGCGGUCCCAGCUGCCUCGCCGCCGAGCCCCGGGAGGAGGAAGGCAGAGGUGGAUUCGGGGCUGCGCACGGGGUCCUGCGUGCGCCGUGGUGGGGAGAGAGUGUCUACACCUCUAGGGGCCCCUGGGUGGAGGGAGAGAAGGCUCUCAGAGAGGGCAAGGUGAGAGGAGCCUGAGUGGGGAAGGGAGAGGGACCAGGGUCUAGGCAGAGCCAGGCCCUCCCCGCGGGGCUCCGGCGGGCUGGCGGGGAGCUGGCCUGGGCCAGACUGUCCCCCCACCCCACCUGCCCCACUGGGAGGAGCUGCCACUCGCUGUCUGUGGGGCUGCCCCUCUUCCACCUCAGCAGGAACUAAGUGCUCUUCCCUCCCCCAAGAAGCCCCUCCCUGCUGAGGAAGGGCCCCCUCCUUGCUUGGAUGUGGAUCCCAAGGACCUGCUUCAAAUGCGGCCACUGCCUCCCCAGGGACAGGCACAAAUGGUGGGGUGGGGCAGCUGAGCCCUGACCUGCACCUGCUCUCUGAACUAUGGCCCCAGGGGGGACAGCCCAGGUGGGCUUGAAAUGGACUCCCAUGUCCCCGUUAUCCAUUGCUGUGUAACAAAGCACCCCCAAAGUUUGUGGCUUAAAGCCCCCCUUUGUUCCUCUCUGUCUUGGUCUGUGGAUGGCCCUGUCUCAGCUGAGCGGCUCCCCCUGGGGGCUUCUCUGCAGUGUGGUCAGGUAGCAUCUGGGGUGGGAUCUUCUGAGGGAUGCAUGUCCAGGAUGUCUGCUGCCCUAGUUGGGUGGCUGGCUGGCCCUCUCCCCGAGCGUGGCCUCUCCGUGUGGCCGGCUGGGGCUUCCUGGGAGCAUGGCGGUCUCAGGGUAGUGGGAUUAUUCCAUGGCAGCUGCCCAGCCCACGGUCACGGGGCCAAGCUUCUCACGACCCAUCCCGGGACGUCUGACAGCACUGCGUCCUAUGGGCCAGAAAGUAAGUCCUGGCCACCCCAGAUUCCGGUGGGGGGGGUACUUCCCAAGGGUAGGAGACCUGGGACACAUGGUUUAUAAGGGCCAUCGUAAGAGACUAGCCAUCACCCCCGUAACUCUGUAGGGCAGUGCACUUCCCAGGCUUGGCCUGGCCACAUAGUGUCCUGGAGGCCAGAGUGAGCACCCACCAGAGAGCCCAUCCUGGAAGCUGGCCCCAUCCUGCCCAACAGCCAGGCGGGCCUCUUCCUCCACACGCGGGACCCAGGGUGUGCUCCCUCCCUCAAGCACAGGCCAUUUCCUCCUGUGUUUGUGUGAAAAUGGGAACCAGCCACAGAGCCUGCACAGCAGCGACCCAGACCAAGGAGGAGCCUUGCUCCCAGCGCCUCCGCCCACUGGCUGGGCUGGCCCCGGGAAGCUGCGGCUCAGAUACAGGGAAGAACCAGCAGCUCCACAGAGCCUCGUUUUGCCCACAUUUGGGGGGCAGUAGCAUUUGACUUGAUGCAGGCUCAGACAGCUGGCAGCGUAGACUGCAGAACGUGUGUGCCUUCAGAAUGUCAGCAAGGUGCCACCCCUGCAGGAAGCAGCCUGGCAGUUCCUCAGGCAGUUAAACAUAGAGUUACUGGGUGACCCAGCAAUUCUGCUCCCGGGUGUCUAUCCAAGGCUUCGAAACGGACUCAAACAGAUACUGGCAGUAUUCACAAUAGCAAAAGGUCAGAGCAAGCCGUGUCCAUCAACUGAUGACCAGAUAAACAGUGUGGUCUAGCCACACAGGAGGAUGUGACUCAGCCAUAAAGAGGAGUGAAGGUUUUCGUUGCAGCACUAUUUAAAAUAGCCAAGACAUGGAAGCACCUCAGUGUCCAUCGACAGAAGAGUGGGUAAAGAAGGUUGGUACCUAUAUACGGUGCAACAUUACUCAGCCAUAAAAAAGAAGGAAAUAAUGCCGUUUGCAGCAACAUGAAUAGACCUAGAGAUUACCAUACUGAGUGAAGUAAGCCAGAAAGAGAAAGACAAAUACCAUAUGAUAUCACUUAUGUGUGGAAUCUGAAAAAUGGUACAGGGACUUCCCUCGUGGCUCAGUGGUUGGGAAUCUGCCUGCCAAUGCAGGGGACAUGGGUUCGAGCCCUGGUCCGGGAAGAUCCCACAUGCCACGGAGCAACUAAGCCCGUGCGCCACAACUACUGAGCCUGCGCUUGAGAGCCCACGAGCCACAACUCCUGAGCCCACGAGCCACAACUCCUGAAGCCCACAUGCCUAGAGCCCGUGCUCCACAACAAGAGAAGCCACUGCAAUGAGAAGCCCACGCACCGCAACGAAGAGCAGCCCCCGCUCACCGCAACUAGAGAAAAGCCCACGCGCGCGCGCGCGCAGCAAUGAGAACCCAACGCAGGCAAAAAAGCCCACAGAGUUACAAAUGAACUUAUUUACAAAACAAAUAGAAUCGCAGAUGUAGAAAACAAACUUAUGGUUACCAGGGGGAUGGGGCGGAGGGAUAAAUUGGGAGAUUGGGAUGGACAUAUACACACUACUAUUUAUGAAAUAGAUAACUAAUAAGGACCUCCUGUAGAGCACAGGGAACUCCACUCAGUGCUCUGUGGUGGCCUAUGCGGGAAGGAAUCUAACAGAGUGGCCAUACGUGUGUGUAACUGAAUCACUUUGCUGUGCGCCUGAAAGUAACAGCACUGUAAAUCGAGUAUGCUUCAAUAAAAAUUGUUUUAAAAAAGGAAUGAAAUUCUGACACGUGCUGCCACACUGAGGAGCCUUGAAGACGCCACGCUGAGUGAAAGAAGGCAGACGAAAGGCCCCACGUUCCACGAUCCGUUUAUAUGAAACGUCCAGAGUAGGUGAAUCCACAGGGACAGAAAGAUUGGGGGCUGCCAGGAGCCGGGGGAGGGGAGAACAGGGAGUGAGGGACUUAACGGGGCAGAGUUUCCUUUCCGGUGAUGAGAAUGUUCUGGAACUAGGGAGACUGGUGGUUACACACACUGUGAGUGUGCUAAGUGCUACCGAAGUGUCCACGGUAAGACGGUUAAGGUGACGUGAAUUUCAGUUCACUUUUUUUAAAGAAGGAAAAGUACAUCAGUGAGACUGUUCCGGAGCAUUCCACGCUGGCCGUGGACACCAGCCCCGUCAGCUGCAGUCCCGGGGCCCUUUGUGGUAGGUCGGGACCAGGCCCCUGCAGCCUAGCCAUGGGCCUGGGGACAGGGCGCACGGUGGGGGUCUGGAGUGAGGCCUGGCGGGGCGUUCCUCAGAGGCACAGGGAGUUCAGCCGUGUGUCUGGAGGGCUCGCUGGGGGCAGGCAGCGUGGAACUGGGGCUCGGAGGGCGUUAGGACAAGCACACGGCACGGUCGAGGGGCCGGGCUGCGGGGCGGCCCGCUGACGAGGCGCUGUUUGCAGAGACCCGAGGAUCCAGGAGGACGAGAAGGACAGGAUGGAAGAGGGUGCCACAGCCCACGGGGCAGCCAGCGGGCUGUGCUGGGCCCCUCGGAGGGCACUGGGAGCCGUGGAAGGCCCCAGACAGGGGCGCAGUGGUUGGGCUCUGCCUCUGGAAGGGCGCUGUGGCCGCCCGGCCGGGGGAGCAUGAGGCCAGUGGAGGGACUUGGGCCGUCGUCCAGAGCGGGGCGUGCAGGUGGCUGGCCUUGGGCCCCGUGGGGGCAGGUGCGGGCGGAGGUGGCUGGCUGGGGGACAGCUCGGGGGGGCGGGGCCCGAGCCACGAGGAGCCUCUGAAAACCCGCCUCUGGGUUUGGGAACGAGGGGGCUUUGGAGACCCCGCCGAGCCGCAUUCAGAGGUGAGCGCGGGCUGGAGACCCUCACCCUGAGCGUCAGGGCCCCAGGGCUGCCGGGACAGGCCGCCGCGAGCCUGGCGGCGUCAGACGGCACAGACCGGCUGUCCUACAGCCGCGAAGGUGGGAGCCGAAGCGGCCUCCCUGGGCUGGAGCCGAGGCACGGGCAGGGCUGCCUCCCGGGGGCUCCGGGGAGAACCCCUUCCUGGCCUCUAACAGCUGGAAGCGGCCGCACGCCUCGGCUCCGGGCCCCUCCUCCACCUUCCCGGCCAGCGGCCAGCAGUCCUGUUCUCUCUAGGGCUCUGCCUCCCGCUGUCACAUCUCUACUCUGACCCCCCUGCCGUCCCACACAAGGACCCCGUGACGACACCGGCCUCCCCUAUGACCCUGGAUCCCCCUACCUCAGGGUCCUUCACUUAACUGCGUCUUUGCCGUGUAAGGUUCCCCAUUCGAGGGUUCUGGGAGUACGGUGUGGACGCGAGAGCCAGGGCGGGGUCCCGGGUGGGAUUCAGUCUGCUGGGCCCUGGCAGGACGGGGGGAAACUCCUGCUGGCCGCCGCCUCCCCUUCCUCUGUAGGAGGCAGGGACGAGGUCAUCUACCAAGAGUGGGGCGGGUGGAGAGGGUGGCUGCAUGUGGACCCCAUGGGGUCGGGGGCCUGGAGUCCCGGUCGCCUGGUGAGUGGGGCUUCCUACUGGCACAAGGCUGGAGGAGGCCCUCGGACGGCGCCAGCAGCCUGGGCAAGUGGACAGGUGGACAUCGGCUUCCUCCAGGGCUCAGCCUUUGCCCAGAGGGGGUGACGGGGAGCCCGUGGGUCCAGAGAGGUGAGGAUACUGGUCAGGGAGUUCCUGAUGUGACAGACCCCAGGGAUGGAGGGUGGUGAGGACCGGAGGGGCUGGCGGGCAGCGGGAAGCGGGGGAGUCGGGCUGGGCGUCCAAAACAGGCACAGAACGCAAGCCUGGACGCAGGCUGAGCCACGGGGCAGUCGGGGAGGGUCAAGGUCAGGGGCGUGGGCGUGGGAGCCUGCUGGCUGGUGGCAGAAGUGGGUGCAGAGGAAGCCUGAGGAUGGGGCCCGAGUGAGGGGUUGGGCGGGGCUCCAGCGGUGACACUGGUGAGCUACAGGGGUGUAGCAGACACCAGGUCCAGAGGAAUAGUGAUGCCCCAAAAGCAGGGAGUAGGCAGAGGAGGAGAGGGCCUGGGGCAGCUGGCAGGGGGCUGGAUUCACGCCACCUGGUUACUGAUGACGAGCUGCCCCCAAGUGUUGUGUUUGCAGGGGCGGCACCCUACCCUCUGCAUCUCUGCAGCCAGGAGCAAAGGGCAUCCAGGCUGGGCACCAGUGGGUCUGGCAUGCUAAGCAAAGGGCUGAGGGCCCAGGCGCAGUAAGGCUACCUUCUGGGGCUAGAGGUCUCACCUUUUGAGGUCCUCAGGGGGGUGCCAGGGGCAGCAACAGAAAGCAGGGGCCAUGCAACCCCCGAUCUUUCUGGGCACCUGGGGCAGCCUUUUCUUGUUUCUUUAUGGCCGCGCCACACCGCUCGCAGCAUUUAGUUCCCCGACCAGGGACUGAAGCCGGGCCACGGCGGUGAGAGCACCGAGUCCUAAGCGCUGGGCCACCAGGGAAGUCCCAAGAAGGCUUUUCCUUUCACCUGAGUUAGGGAGCUUUAGUGGUGGUUAAGUGUUUCUUGUUUAUGCUGGAGUUUUAGUUUCAUUUGGUUUGAGUGUUUUGCUCUUUUUCAAAGUGAUGCACGUACACAGCAAAAGGAAAAAGAGGAACGUUCAAUGUUAGUGCAAGACUCACACACAAAACCCCCAGCCCCCAGCCCAGCCCUCUCCACAGUCCGACCCCCCCAGAGGCGGCCACUGUCAAGCCUUCAGGCUGAUCCUUUUGAUGUUUCUCCUCCAAGCGUCUCUGCUCACGCGGCCAUUUCUUGAUUUAUUGGUUGUGGGCAUUUUUCUCUGACUGCGUUGGUCAGGCCAGCUCAGCCACAGGCAGCCAGGAGAGCCACCAGAAUAGCUCCAACAGCGUGGGGUCGGCAGUCUCCCACGAGAAGUCUGGAAGGAGGAGGCCCCAAAGCCUUCCAUAGAGCACGUCCCCCUGGCACAGCAGGUCAGCCCCUACUCAACCUCAUGAUCUCAACAUGGCUGCUGUGGCCCAGGCAUCACCUACAGACGCAGUGGCAUCAGUAAAGGGGAGGAGAGUCUCUUUGCAAAUUAGGAGGAAACGCUUGCCCAGAAGCCCCCAUUGUGAGGACCAGUGACCUUUCACCUCUAAGAUCUGGGCCAGGUUGUGGGGGGCACAGUGCCUUCCCUGAGCACACGCCAGGGAGGGUGAAUGCCCCCAACCCCAGGCUAGGACUGUGAAGAGGAGGUGAGGAGGGAGGGAGUGGACAUGGGAGAGGUGGCCACUGCCUCAGGCUCGCGGCCCUGGAGGGCUCCACACCCGCACGUCCCCUUCCUUCUCUCCCAGUGCGUCCCCCUCAGGACCGCCAGCUGAGUCAGUGCCGGGUGUCACUGUCCCUGAUGAGAGGGUGGACCCCGUAGCACCUGAAGUGCAUUCUGGUUACCCUUCCUGCCACAGGUAAUUCUGAUUUCCUGAUCUAACCCCUGCCUUCUCCUCCUUUCCUUCUGUGAUGUUUAAUUUUAUGUAUGGACUUGGCUGGGCCACGGGUGCCCAGGUACUUGGUGAGACUUUCUUCUGGGCGUCUCCGGUUGAGAGUAACAUCUGAACGGGUGGUCUGACGCAAGCAGGUGCCCUCCCCUCGCGGGUGGGCCUCGUCCAGUCCCGGAGGCCUCAACAGAGCAGAAGCGAGUGAUGCAGAAUCGGCUCUCCUGGCCCGACGGACUCCAGCGCGGACAGCGGCCUCCUGCCUUUGGACACAGACUCAGGCAGGACCUCGCACGUCCGGCUCCCCCGGGUCUCCAGCUGGCCCGCUGCCGACCUGGGGACUUGUCAGCUUCCGUGACAGUGCGUGAGCCAACUCCUCACAAUCAAUGGGUGCAUAUAUCCGGCCUGCUUUACACUUCUACACGUAACACACAUCACAUGUGCGUUCUGUUUCUCUGGAGAACCUGUCGCCCCCGCCAAGGUCAACGCCCCGCUUGUCCUGCAGCUGGUCUGUAACACAUAUCACAUGUGCGUUCUGUCUCUCUGGAGAACCUGUCGCCCCCGCCAAGGUCAACGCCCCGCUUGUCCUGCAGCUGGUCUGUCUUGGUGGCAGCUCCCCGGGGCCCUCCUCCCUUCGCCCUGGGCUGGCGCUUCCUCCUCCAGGACCCAGGGGUCUCCUAUCUCCCAGGUGAGUUCCAGCCCCAGGCCGCUGGCCCCAUGCCUCCCCGUCCCUGGUUCCCUUCCUCAUUUCGCUGGUGCAUGUCCUUCUUGUCCUCGAAAUGCCUCGUGAAAGCUGAUUAGGGAGGAUGUUCACGUGCGUGGAAAUGUCACCAGCCCCUCACCCUGAUGGAUGCCUGACCAGAUGGGUAAUUCUGGUAGGAGUGUCAUUUUCCCACGACGAAGCUUCCAGCACCAGGCUGACCGCUGAGCCGCCGUGCCUUUCUAGUCCCUGACCAUUUGUGGGGAACUCCUUUCCCUCUGCAGCCAUUUGGGUCCCCAGCUUCCGUAAUACCCUGGGUUUCUCAAUCCCUGGCCAAGUAGGCAGUGACCGUUUCAGUCUGGAAACAGGUGCCCUUCCGUUUGGGAAAUCUUCGUAUUGUUUCUUUGAUCGUUUUUUUCCUUCCAUUUUCUCUCUUCUGACUGGAACUCCGGUUAGUUGGAUGUUCGAUUACGGGAACGAUCCCAAUUUUCUUAACUUUCCUCUUUAUUUAUGUCUCUUUGUCUUUACAGGAGAGUUUCUCAGUUUUAUCUUUCAGUCCAUCUGUCGUUUCCAUAUUUCUCCCGUUGUAUUUUUUUUUUUUUUUUUUUUGCGGUACGCGGGCCUCUCACUGUUGUGGCCUCUCCCGUGGCGGAGCAUAGGCUCCGGACGUGCAGGCUCAGCGGCCGUGGCUCACGGGCCCAGCCGCUCCGCAGCAUGUGGGAUCCUUCCGGACCGGGGCACGAACCCGUGUCCCCUGCAUCGGCAGGCGGACUCUCAACCACUGCGCCACCAGGGACGCCCUCUCCCGUUGUAUUUUUAACCUGAUGGGAGCUGUUCUCUCUCCCCCUUCCGUGUCUUCUACCCGACUGCGGGUACAGUUGGGUUUUUCUGGCCCACGCUCACUCUCUCUGUUUCCUUUAAUUCGGGAGCUGGGGGCACCCCGUCUGUGUCUGGGUGGGUGUGUUGUCAACUGGGGGGGCCGUGCUGCAAACUGUUGAACCAGCUCCCCGGUGGGGCCCCCAGGUUUCAGUGCUGGGGGGUCCUUUCUGUGGGCCUCUUGGUGUCUCUCGCCAAAGGGGAGCCCUGGGCCCCCGGCCUGGGCACAGAGCAGAGUGACCUGUGGACGCCCGGGGGGGUGUGUCUUCAAGCUUCCUUCUCUACCCCGCCACCCUCCAUAGACGGCUGCACCAGCAUCAGCCUGUCUCAUCGCUCUGGUUUGGCUUUUUUUUUUUUUCCAGCCUCACUGUGUGGCAUGUGGGAUCUUGGUUCCCCGACCAGGGAUCGGACCCAGGCCCCCUGCAUUGGAAGUGCAGAGUCUUAACCACUGGACCGCCAGGGAAGCCCACCAGUGCUGUGGUUUUGAUGCCUGGUUCUACAGGCAUUUUUUCAGAAUUAACUUACUUAUCAUUGACUUUUUUCCUUACAAAUGUUAGAACAAGUGUGACAAAACCAAUGGCAGGAAGGUGAGUUGGGGUGGCAUCGGGUCUGCAGUCACCUGGGAGAGACUCGGGGUCUGCGCGGCUCCCCGUGUGCCCAGACGGAGCAGCUCUCCUCGCUUCUCCAGAUCGCCUACGUCCAGACUUCCUCUCUGCCGGCUGACCCACUCCUGCGUGGUUUCCCUCCUGCUGGGAACACUGCCCUGCUUUCUAUCAGGAUCCUGCUGGCUUACUGCCAUGGGAAGGAGCGCCACUGAUGCACAAACACUGAAACGUGAAAUGUGUACAUGCAAAAGAGAAUGAAAAAUGUCCUUGUAUAAAGUACAGUUUAAAGAAUAAGAGCCAGGUCACGGAAUAUAGCACAUUCCUGGUGGCCUGGAAGCUGCAGGGGGAGGACCCUACCCCCAGCAAAGUAACUUCCUCCAGACGAGGUAGACUGUCCACUGCCUCUUCUGAACCUGUCAGCAUUCGGUGUGUGUCCCCCGAGCUAUAGUCUCUUCUGUUUUGACCAAGCUCACCUGGAGGCACCAGGAGAAGAGAAGCCGAGCAGAGCCAUGGGGUCCAGGUCUGGCCUCAGCCUCCCUGAGGGUUUUUAGGAACUGUUCUGGGGCCAUCAGUGGGCAGGGACACUGAUGACCUAGGGAUAUCCAGGCCCCCCACAGGCGGGGCAUCUGGCUGGGGCUUGGGCUGUCCUGUAUUUCUGCUUCUGAACCCACCAGGGCCAUCUCCCAGUCCUCUGGCACAGGUCAGAUGGGCCAAAGGAGACACUCCUGGGGAAGCCCCAUCCUCAGAUAACCCCGCCGUGCCAUCUCUUGCAUCACACUGUCUGACCUGGGUGGCUGGCGGUCCCAGGGGCACGGCUGUCCUACAGACAUCUCCCUUCAGAACCCCCUGUGCACUCACCCCCCCGCCCCUGAGGUAUAUGCUGGAGGUCCGUUCGCCUGGUCUGGUCCUUGGUUUGCUCUCGCUUUGAUGGAGCACAUCCCUCAGUAGCUGAGACACAGCGCAUGCGUGGGAGAUACAUUUUAACACCUUGCAUGUCUGAGAAGUUUUUACGAAACCCUCACAGUUGAAUGGUAGCUCGGGCAGGUAUAGAAUUCUAGGUUGGAAAUCACUUUCCUCCAGCACUUCAUAUGUACUGAUUCCUUGUCCACUUACCUCCAGGGUGGCUGCUUUCACUUCUCAAGCCAUUCUGAGGCCUCUUUGGGGACCUAAUAAUAUAUGUUAAUUUGGAGAAUGUCCCAUUUGUACUAGAAAAGAGUGUGCCUCGGGCUUCCCUGGUGGCGCAGUGGUUGGGAGUCCGCCUGCCGAUGCAGAGGACAUGGGUUCGUGCCCCGGUCCGGGAAGAUCCCACAUGCCACAGGGCGGCUGGGCCCGUGAGCCAUGGCCGCUGAGCCUGCGCGUCCGGAGCCUGUGCUCCGCAACGGGAGAGGCCACAGCAGUGAGAGGCCCGCUUAUCGCAAAAAAAAAAAAAAAAAAAAAAGAGUGUGCCUCUUUUAUUUCUUGUGUUAUCCACACAGUCCACAACUUUGCUUGUGAUGCUUGAGCUGUCAGUGUCUGAGAGGCGAGUUGGAGGGUUUCUAUCUCCAACCACCGCUGUUGGGUCAGUUGUCACCUAUUGUUUUCUGUCUUCUGAGGCUGUGGGUUUUUUUUGUUUUUUGAGUUUAAAAAUAUAUUUAUUUAAUUUGUUUGGUUGCACCGGAUCUUAGUUGUGGCAGGCGGGUUCCUUAGUUGCGACUCACUAGAUCCUUACUUGCGGCAGAUGGGCUCCUUAGUUGUGGCAUGUGGGAUCUAGUUCCCUGACCAGGGAUCGAACCCGGGCCCCCUGCGUUGGGAGCACAGAAUCUUAACCACUGCACCACCAGGGAAGUCUCUGAGGUUAUGUUUUUAGUUGCAUACAUGUUGUAUGUUUUUGAUCUGCUGUUUAUCUCACAAAUAUUGGAUCCUGCUGUCUCCUAAUUUAAAAUGGUUAAAACGAUCAAUUUUAUGUUAGGUAUAAUAACCACCACAAAAAAAAAAAGCACCACAAAACACAAGCAGAGAGCCUCGUUCCUCUUGACUGAAGAACCACUGAUGAGCGACCACCUCCACAAGGACCACACUCCAGUCCUGGUCCACAGAAGAUAUAUGGUCGGGGCAAACUCAAGACAGCCGGGAGGGAGAACCUGAGGAUGAAGAGGCUCAAGACGCGUGCCAGCGGUCGCAACGCAUGGGCCUUGUGUGCAUCUCCAUCAGGCCAACUGUACAAACGCCGUUCCUAGCAGCGUCCAGGAGCCUGGAACCUGAGAGGUUCUCUGUGCUGACGGCAUUAUAGCUACAUUGUGGGAAUACAGCUGAAGUGUGAAGUGACGCCUGGGAUCUACUCAGAACAGCCAGUUCCCUGACCAGGGAUUGAACCCUCGCCCCCUGCAGUGGACGCGCGGAGGCUUAACCACUGGAGCCCUGAGUCCUCAUCUUCAAUGAAGGCAAAUCCUCAGACUCUGUGUCUCAGAAGAGUCCCCGCCUCUUUUCUCCUUCUGGGAAUCGCGAACCUGCUGCUGUUUCCCCAUCCUUCUCCAUCCUCCGCUGUGUCGUCAGGGUGGCCCUUCAUCCCUCCCGAGUCCGUGCCUCUUCUCGGUUCUCUCUGAGCCCUGGCUCCUGCCUCCGGCUUCCUGAGCCCCUGCCCUUUGGGCUUCUCUGUGAAGCCCCGUCCGGUCAGUCGUUCCGCCCAGAACAGCCAGACCCGUGGCUUCUUUGUCCACCUCGGCCUGGACGCCCGGGCUCCACCACAGAGCUUGCGGAGCUGGGAGAGGUGCUCAGGACCAAGGGGUGGGGCCCUCUCCCUACCCUGCCCGCAGGGCCCACCAGGGCCUCGACCAGCAGCCCAGCCCCUCCUGCUUGCCUCCACCCAUCCUAAGCCCCCAAAGCCCCCGCGCCCUCCGGCCUCAGCCCCUGCCCAUCCCCCCACCUGUGCCGGCGCUAAUCUGGGGCUCAGUGCUGGGGGCAGCCCUACACCUGCACCCCAGGUGCCCAGACUCCUCACUGGGGUCCCCCAGGAUGCGGGGAGGGGGUGCCUGCUGUCCACGACCCUUACUGACGCCGCCCAGGGUGCCCGUGGCGGCCCCUCGGUCACCGGCCAUUCCCCGCGUACAGCUGAGCCGACAUGCAGGCGACACCACUGCUCCUUCACUACACCGUGGCCCACGCACCCAGGUGGGACUCGAUGUGGCCCCGGGGCGAUGGUGUGGUCAUGUGAGGGCUGCCUGCCCCGCCCGCCCCCCGCUUCCCCCUGGGGCACGGCAUAGUCUGGACUCUCAGACCCCCAGCCGUGGCAAGGUCUCCCCGGGACAGAGUGGCCCGUGCAGGCCAGAGACGAGCUGAGCUGGGGCCGUGGGACAGCACGGGCCCACUGGCCAGAGUCCCCUGGCCGGUCUCAGAGGUUGCCGGUGGUGCAGGGCGCGGCUGGGGGGCCCUUCUGGGGAGGCAGGGGGAGUUGGGGCAGGGCCUGGGCCGGACCCCGAGGCCAACAGGCAGGUGGAGAGCGCAGCGGCGGCGUGCGGGACCCCAGCUCUGACCUCGCUCUGGCCCCGCACAGGGCCUGCUCCUGGACGUGCACCGUCCUGUGGACGUGCCGGCGUCGCCCUGCACCGGUGGCUGGACCGAGGCCCCACAUUCCCAACCUCUAGGCGCCCCGGGGUCUCGAAGGGAAACAGCUCCGCCAGGAGACCCGGGAACGCGCAAGCCCCACUGCAGCUGAGCCCGCCCGGAAAGCACGAGCCCGGGAACAAUGCCCUUCGUGUGACAGACUUUCCCCUCUGUGGGAGAAAAUAGAGUUUAACAGAAUGGCGACUUCCUGCAUUUGUGCCUUCGCCUGAGGGGUGAUUCACACAAGACCUCCCACAAAGAGGAGCUUCUAGCCAAGUCAGCCAGGGCUAGGUGCCCCAAGGGCCCUGCACCCCUUGGGGCCCCGGGGCCAGGGCACAAGGACUCAUGUGACCCGCGAGCAGCCCGGCCCACGGCCCCGCCCUGUGGCCACUUGCCUCUUGGUCUCUCCUGGGGGAGGCCCUGGCCGACCACCCUCCUGCCUUCGCCUGAGGUUCCUGCCACUCCCACACCCAAACCCCACCACGGCCAGACCCCCUCCCUGGAGCUCUGGGGCCGCUCCGGUUCAUACUUUCCUCCCCUUCAGGGCCCAAAACACAGAGAUGGUGGGACCAACCGCCCUGCUUUGGGGACACACGGCCCUCCUAUGCAGGCAUCGAUGACACCACUGCGGCUGGGACGGUGUGGCUGAGCUGAGGCCUCACUAGGACAUCCCGCUGUGAGGCUGGUGGACGGUGGCCCGGCUGCUGCCCUCCAGAUGCACGGGGCCUUGGCGCCAAGGCCUCGCUGCCCACGGCUGCCGCCUGCCCACGAGGGAGAGACGGAGCACGGCAGGGGUGCGGAGGCCCUUCCCUGCAGCCACACAGCAGCCUGAGGCCCCCCUGCCGGGCCCCCUGCGCCCCCUGCUCCCGGGGGGCGGGCCCCCUGCCUGGGGUCUGGCCCCCCACUUGACUCUUCACAGGUGUCCCCCCAGGCUCUCGGCCACAUCAGCUCCCCACCUGGCCUCUCACAUGGGAUCGAGUUCCAGCCGCCGCCGCCUCUCCUGGACCUUGUGACCUCCAGCCAAGGAGCCUCCAGGGCGGCACAGCUCCCCGCUUUCCCUGGUGGGUGCUCAGGCCCUUUGUGAACGCUCGCUGCCCUUUGCACAGCACCUACGAUGUCCUGGCACUGCGCUGGGUGUUCUCCACCUGACACCUCAAGUCUCUGCGCAAACUCCGGUGUUACAGCUGAGCUCAGAGGGGUUGAGGCUUGCCCGAGGCUGCAGAGGGGCUCGGCCAGCAGCCCAGCACCGCGGGGACACAGCCAUGGUGGGCUUUGGGUGACAACUGUACCCUGGGCUCCUCUGACCUCAGGCAACCAAGACCUCUGGGACCAACUCCUCAUGUUAAAUCCCGCCAUUUGAAAUACCCGCAGUGAUUUUUUUCUGGUUGGGUUGGAUUGAGUCCGGGAGGGUUUUGCAGGAUGGGCCACAGUGGGGUUCAGAGGAA